rnacentral:rRNA from 1 species
AGCGAACGCUGGCGGCAGGCCUAACACAUGCAAGUCGAACGCCCGGGCAACCGGGAGUGGCAGACGGGUGAGUAACACGUGGGAACGUGCCCUUCGGUUCGGAAUAACUCGAGGAAACUCGUGCUAAUACCGGAUACGUCCGCAAGGAGAAAGAUUUAUUGCCGAAGGAUCGGCCCGCGUCCGAUUAGCUAGUUGGUGGGGUAAUGGCCCACCAAGGCGACGAUCGGUAGCUGGUCUGAGAGGAUGAUCAGCCACACUGGGACUGAGACACGGCCCA